ACAGGCAGAGCGAUUAGUGGCUGUGGACAGGAGCUGCUGCAGCUGAAGCUGGAGAGGCCAGAGAAAGGUAAAGCUGCCGAAGAAUAAAAUAAAGGGGAUGCAGCCAGCAGCUGCAGACAGGAGACAGCCUGCCUCUCCAGGUGAGGAAGGAUCCCUGCUGGCGUAGUCCUCAGCAGAUCCCAUCACCAACGUGCACGGCAGGGUCUGUACGCAUAACCAAAAGCACAGUACAGCCAUGUAGUGUGUGCGUGUGCGAGGCUGUGUUUCUAGGAAGCCUGAUAAUGCAAGAGCUGUAAGACACCAGUCUGUUCUCUUAGGUGGAAGACAGUCAAAUGACCAGAGCUACAGAGGAGGAAGGGAGAAGGGGAGGGAGACAGACGUGUCUGAACUGUCCAAUUAUCCCAGCAGCUCUGAGAGCGGGAGCUGCAUCAAGCUGAAUCAACAGAAGAAGGAUCAUACAUCUUAGACCUAAGACAUGGUGUGGACACAUAUUUAGCUAACGUUGGUCACAAGAGCAUUGCAGACGCCUUUAGAAGACCUUGAACAGAAUAAACAAGAAGACAAAAAAAGAAAGAUGAUAAUAAAGCCAAUUAGAAGAACACAGCCAUCCGUCUACUUCAGUCUCCUCAAAUGGUGACCCCGACGUGGUUGCGGGCCAAGAAAACGCUGGAAUUGCUGGAAGCGCGUCCGGAGGAGACUCUAGCCGAAUGAUCAUCUAGCCAGCCGGACUGAGAGGACAACCUUCUCCCGGGAGAUCAAUCACCCUGCUCGUUUGGAAGUAAGGUGAGCGGCUAGAAGGAUUAAAAUGGGUGCCCAGAUGUCUGCGGAAGAAGGAGCAAUUGUACAAAUGCUUUUGCAUAUCCUCUCCGUGAGAGGG